AUUGAACGCUGGCGGCAGGCCUAACACAUGCAAGUCGAACGGCAACAGGAAACAGCUUGCUGUUUCGCUGACGAGUGGCGGACGGGUGAGUAAUGUCUGGGAAACUGCCUGAUGGAGGGGGAUAACUAUUGGAAACGGUAGCUAAUACCGCAUAACGUCGCAAGACCAAAGAGGGGGACCUUCGGGCCUCUUGCCAUCGGAUGUGCCCAGAUGGGAUUAGCUAGUAGGUGGGGUAACGGCUCACCUAGGCGACGAUCCCUAGCUGGUCUGAGAGGAUUACCAGCCACACUGGAACUGAGCCACGGUCCAGACUCCUACGGGAGGCAGCAGUGGGGAAUAUUGCACAAUGGGCGCAAGCCUGAUGCAGCCAUGUCGCGUGUAUGAAGAAGGCCUUCGGGUUGUAAAGUACUUUCAGCGGGGAGGAAGGGAGUAAAGUUAAUACCUUUGCUCAUUGACGUUACCCGCAGAAGAAGCACCGGCUAACUCCGUGCCAGCCGCCGCCGUAA
rnacentral:rRNA from 1 species